GACGUAGGGUGCGAGCGUUGUCCGGAUUUAUUGGGCGUAAAGAGCUCGUAGGCGGCUCGUUGCGUCGGCUGUGAAAACCCGCAGCUCAACUGUGGGCUUGCAGCCGAUACGGGCGGGCUGGAGUUCGGUAGGGGAGACUGGAAUUCCUGGUGUAGCGGUGAAAUGCGCAGAUAUCAGGAGGAACACCGGUGGCGAAGGCGGGUCUCUGGGCCGAUACUGACGCUGAGGAGCGAAAGCGUGGGGAGCGAACAGG
rnacentral:rRNA from 1 species